AAAUUGGUUUCUCUGUAUAUUGCUCCUCUUUGUCGAAGAAUGUAAUAAGUCUGUAUUGCAAACUGGAAAUCAAAACUAUAUAUAUUUAGUCUUGACAGCAAAGAGCUUAAUAGUAUAUACAUGCAUAUAUUUAUACUUAGUAUAUUUAUCCAGUAUAUACCACUCGGAAUGUACUUGAAUUCAUUAUCCAUAUUUACAGUAAUAUAGAAUAACAAUUAUCUUUCAACAGUGAAGAAGAGAAAGAAAGAAGAAAAGUAAUCUGAGUAACAUUUAACCAUUGAAUGGCCAAAUUUCAAUUUAAAAUGCUUUCUGUGAUGACAAAAAUUAACGUUUCUCAACAUUCGCAGUGUUGUACCGAAAUGGAGAUCUUAAAUAUGCGCAUUUAAGACUCUAUGAUGGACUUCCUUAGAUGUCUGAGAGAGCAUUUUAAAGAUAUUUACGACUCCAUCCUUCAUUUAGCUUAGUGUAUGAAAAGCUAAUUGUAUGUAAAAAAACAC
rnacentral:sRNA from 1 species